rnacentral:rRNA from 1 species
AUUAGAGUUUGAUCCUGGCUCAGGAUGAACGCUAGCGGCAGGCUUAAUACAUGCAAGUCGUGGGGCAGCGCAGGUAGCAAUACUGGGCGGCGACCGGCAAACGGGUGCGGAACACGUACACAACCUUCCGAGAAGUGGGGAAUAGCCCAGAGAAAUUUGGAUUAAUACCCCGUAACAUAACGAUGUGGCAUCACAUUGUUAUUAUAGCUUCGGCGCUUCUUGAUGGGUGUGCGGCUGAUUAGAUAGUUGGCGGGGUAACGGCCCACCAAGUCUACGAUCAGUAGCUGAUGUGAGAGCAUGAUCAGCCACACGGGCACUGAGACACGGGCCCGACUCCUACGGGAGGCAGCAGUAAGGAAUAUUGGUCAAUGGACGCAAGUCUGAACCAGCCAUGCCGCGUGAAGGAUUAAGGUCCUCUGGAUUGUAAACUUCUUUUAUCUGGGACGAAAAAAGGCGAUUCUUCGUCACUUGACGGUACCAGAUGAAUAAGCACCGGCUAACUCCGUGCCAGCAGCCGCGGUAAUACGGAGGGUGCAAGCGUUAUCCGGAUUCACUGGGUUUAAAGGGUGCGUAGGCGGGCAGGUAAGUCAGUGGUGAAAUCCUAGAGCUUAACUCUAGAACUGCCAUUGAUACUAUCUGUCUUGAAUAUUGUGGAGGUAAGCGGAAUAUGUCAUGUAGCGGUGAAAUGCUUAGAUAUGACAUAGAACACCUAUUGCGAAGGCAGCUUACUACGCAUAUAUUGACGCUGAGGCACGAAAGCGUGGGGAUCAAACAGGAUUAGAUACCCUGGUAGUCCACGCCCUAAACGAUGAUUACUCGACAUUUGUGAUACACUAUAAGUGUCUGAGCGAAAGCAUUAAGUAAUCCACCUG